rnacentral:rRNA from 1 species
AUUGAACGCUGGCGGCAGGCCUAACACAUGCAAGUCGAACGAGUGGCGGACGGGUGAGUAAUGUCUGGGAAACUGCCUGAUGGAGGGGGAUAACUACUGGAAACGGUAGCUAAUACCGCAUACCAUCGGAUGUGCCCAGAUGGGAUUAGCUAGUAGGUGGGGUAAAGGCUCACCUAGGCGACGAUCCCUAGCUGGUCUGAGAGGAUGACCGGCCACACUGGAACUGGGACACGGUCCAGACUCCUACGGGGGGAGACAGUGGGGAAUAUUGCACAAUGGGGGCAAGCCGAAUGCAGCCAUGCCGCGGGGAUGAAUAAGGCCUUCGGGUUGUAAAGUACUUUCAGCGGGGAGGCGUUACCCGCAGAAGAAGCACCGGCUAACUCCGUGCCAGCAGCCGCGGUAAUUC